GAUGAACGCUGGCGGCGUGCCUAAUACAUGCAAGUCGAGCGAACGGACGAGAAGCUUGCUUCUCUGAUGUUAGCGGCGGACGGGUGAGUAACACGUGGAUAACCUACCUAUAAGACUGGGAUAACUUCGGGAAACCGGAGCUAAUACCGGAUGAUAUUUUGAACCGCAUGGUUCAAAAGUGAAAGACGGUCUUGCUGUCACUUAUAGAUGGAUCCGCGCUGCAUUAGCUAGUUGGUAAGGUAACGGCUUACCAAGGCAACGAUGGCUAGCCGACCUGAGAGGGGGAUCGGCCACACUGGAACUGAGACACGGUCCAGACUCCUACGGGAGGCAGCAGUAGGGAAUCUUCCGCAAUGGGCGAAAGCCUGACGGAGCAACGCCGCGUGAGUGAUGAAGGUCUUCGGAUCGUAAAACUCUGUUAUUAGGGAAGAACAUAUGUGCAAGUAACUGUGCACAUCUUGACGGUACCUAAUCAGAAAGCCACGGCUAACUACGUG
rnacentral:rRNA from 1 species